AGUAACCUAACAUGGUAACUUGAUACAAAAUCAAGGUAGCUAUCAUGCGCGUGUAAAUAUGGGGCCACAUUCUUCCGUAGCUCUCGAAUGAGGGAACAUACACUUUGAGUGCCUGAUUCCGGAGAAGAAGCCACCCUAGACCAAAGUAUACCACACCAAACGGAAUAAUUAUUGGAGCUAUGACGGAAUAGCAUAGGACAAUCGUCAUAAUCAGCAUAUCAUUGGGAAAUCGAGUUGCAUAGCCUAGAUCACCAGGAGCCCAAGCCUCCUUUAUCUCAGCUUCAGUUUUGCACAAAUACUUCUUCUUGAGAUGGAAUAUGAUUAGAGGAACUAUUCUAGAUAGUUCCAGCCCGUAGCCAACAAAGAAUUUCAAAGCCACAAAAGUCAAGAAGAAAGUUGCAUUCUGUGGAAGGCUUUUUGCCAACACACGAAAAAUAGAGUUGGGAUCAUGCUCGAUGCUCUUGAAGGAAGUGAAUAGAGUUCCACCCAGAGUAACACCAAUAAAUACAUUCAACACGGUGAAAUAAAAAUAUUUCCCUGAAGCAGCUCUUGUCACGUGGCUUUCUGAUGGGAUGCCCUCUGCUUUGGAUAGAAACAGAAGAAACUUUGGCAACAAAGCCAAAAAUAAGAUAAGUGCAAGUUGAGGUAAAUACGCUUCUAGCACUGUCUUGACGACCUCCAGCUUAACAACCGGUUUCAAAAACGGGAACAGCUUCACCAAAUUGUCUAAAGUUGUCAAUGCAGAAAUGAACCCAAUCGGAAUUAUGUAAAAGAAUAUGGUCAGAAACACAACAGCGUACACAACAUACUGGCGAAUUAUUCUCUCAUAAAACUUUUUUGAAAGAUUAGUCCAAAUCAACUGUCGGGGUUCUGGAGCAUCUAUAACAGUCCAUGUGUCAACUAUUGGGGCAUGUAAAUUCUGUGAUGCUGAAGCUGCAGCCACCCUGCUGUUGAAAAAGACAAGUGCAGAUGAUUGUUGUUUCUCUUUGAGAGUCACCUUUUGUUCGGCUUCUAACUUUUCGAUCAACUCCUUAAUCUUAUCAUUAUAGAAUUCAAUUGAAUCCACCUUUUCACCAAUAAUUCCAAGGAAACCAGUUUUAUGUGAGGGUUUUAGUGCAUCAGGUUUUGUGUUCUUUGACUCUGCAUAGAUGGCUUCAGCACGUUCAAG
rnacentral:misc_RNA from 1 species